rnacentral:lncRNA from 1 species
CAGUACUGGGCUUCAUCAUUGCAGCUCCCUGUGAUUUCAUCAGUGGAACUUGGCCUUGGAGCACAAGUUGAAAAAUGGAGGCCAAGAGAGGUAUUCCAGUAGCAAGUGGCAGAAUCUGGAUUCUUCUGCAGAUAAUUGGAGGGCCCUGCAUGCAGCAUGACUGGUGUAACAAGAGGAGAGAGACACUCCAGAAGAGGAGGGCCGUGUGAUGGCAAAGGCAGAGGCUGGAGGGGUGCAUCCACAAGCCAAGAAAUGCCAAGGACUCCUGGUAACGCCAGAAGGUGGAAAAGUCCAGGAAGGAUUCUCCUCUGCCAGUUUCAGAGAGAGUGUGGCCCUGAUGACACCUUGAUUUUGACGUCUAGCUUCCAGAACUGUGAGAAUACAUUGUGGGUUUAAGCCAUCCAGUUUGUGGGACUUUAUUAUAGCAGCACUGGGACACUAAUACCAGGACCUCAUGAUCUAGAAACUAACCCUACAGACACCCUGGACUGAGACCGCUUGUUAUGUGAAAUAACUUUCCUUAUCAUUGAAGCUAGUUGAAUAGCAGUAUGUUUUUGUUUUUCAAUUACUGGCUUGCUACAGUUUUCUGACUGAUAACCCUUAGGUCUUCGUGUUCCUCAGGGUCUGCUCUUGGUCUCCUCUCUUCUAACUUUACAGCUGGGGAGACCUCAUCCACUCUCACAGCUUCAGAUACCACCCAAUGGGCUCCUAACCCUCAAAUCUGUGUCCCCAACCCAGACUGCACUGUUGAAUUACAUAUCUAGUUUCUAUCUAACAUCGUCCCCUGGAGAUCCCCCUCAAACUCAGCAUGUGCGAUUUCAAUUUGCUAUCAACCCCCUCCUACAAGCUGUACUUUCUAUGUUUCCUGUUUCAGUGAAUGUCACAACUACCGACUUAGGGGUCCCAACAACAUACCUGGGUGUCAUUCCAUCUUUUUUCUCUCAUGUCUAGAACAUCCACAAGUUCUGGGUUUGUUUU